rnacentral:rRNA from 1 species
AUACGGAUGGUGCAAGCGUUGUUCGGAAUCACUGGGCUUAAAGCGUACGUAGGCGGGUGCGCAGGCAUCCUGUGAAAUCCCUCGGCUCAACCGAGGAACUGCAGGGUGAACCGCGUAUCUUGAGACGAGUAGGGGCUGCCGGAACUCUAGGUGUAGCGGUGAAAUGCGUAGAUAUCUAGAGGAACGCCAAAGGUGAAGACAGGCAGCUGGGCCGAUCCUGACGCUGAGGCACGAAAGCGUGGGUAGCGAACGGGAUUAGAAACCCCAGUAGUCC